rnacentral:lncRNA from 1 species
ACGAUUCGGCCGGCGCGCUGGCGCAGAGCACUGCCCAUAUAAAUAACAUCAUUCAUUCUUCGUUGCAUGGUGCUUGCUCCACUUACGCCUCUCUCGAGUCGGCCCGUAAGUUUCUAUGCUCUGCUUUUCUGCCACCUCAAUGGUGACCACCAUCGCGUACUACACCUCAACCAUGGAGUCGCUCGCGCGUCGUCCGAUCCAGCGCACCGCUUCCCGAUGUCGGCCUUGCCUAAGAAGUCCGCUUGGAAGCAGCCCCAUUCUUUC